UACGAAGGGGGCUAGCGUUGCUCGGAAUCACUGGGCGUAAAGGGCGCGUAGGCGGGUGCUCAAGUCUGUGGUGAAAUCCUCCGGCUCAACCGGAGAACUGCCAUGGAUACUGGGUGUCUCGAGGGUGGUAGGGGUAUGCGGAACUAUCGGUGGAGCGGUGAAAUGCGUUGAUAUCGAUAGGAACUCCGGUGGCGAAGGCGGCAUACUGGACCACUUCUGACGCUGAGGCGCGAAAGCUAGGGGAGCAAACGGG
rnacentral:rRNA from 1 species